CUGGCCUGGGCAGUGGUGACCUUGCAACCCCCUGAUCCCAGUGGCUGGGCCAGGAGUGAUUACACAACCAGACAGAUGCAGGCAGCACAGAUGUCCUGACUUGUAAGCGAGCACUGGGAAGCAGUCUGCACGGGGGACCCUGUCUCUCUGCUGGAAGGAAAGCCAGGAGGAUGUGCGCCUGUCUUGGCAGCUGCCAUCUCACCGCUGUGAGAGAAGCUGCUGAGAGUGGAGGUGCAGCAAGUAGAGCCCAGAGAUGGGAAGAAAGAGACUGGCUCCUGCUGGGUCUAACCGGACCCCUGUGGAUCAAACCACAUCUGAUUCUCCUUAUGAGCCCUGCAGUGCACUGCCCAGAUGCCCUGGGAGGGCUGGUGCAUUUUGGUGUGCCCCCCUCCCAGCAGCAGUGUGCCUUUGUCUCCAACUGCAACCCCUGCAGCCUGCCCUCUGGCUAUGGGUCCAGCAGCUUUGCCCACACAGGAGCAGCCAGGAAGGCCAGGCAGUUUGCUCCCUUCCUCCUCCCACAUGGUGGCACUGAUGACAGGUGUCCCAGCUCCUUUGCCUCCAAUGGGCUCUAACAACUUACACCCCGGAGCUCCCUGCAGGACCAAGCUGAGGCUGCCCCCAGCAGGACAUUGCCUGAAACUGCUACCCUGGCUUUGCUUCCUGCAAACAUCCCUGUUUCCCAGAAGCACUUCCUUAAUAAAUCACUUGCAUUGAACC
rnacentral:lncRNA from 1 species